CUGACAUUAGAUACCCGCGUAGUCCAGGGUGUAAACGCUGCAGACUUGGUGUUGGGAACCCUUCGGGGGUGCUCAGUGCCGGAGAGAAGUUGUUAAGUCUGCUACUUGGGGAGUACGUCCGCAAGGAUGAAACUUAAAGGAAUUGGCGGGGGAGCACCGCAACGGGAGGAGCGUGCGGUUUAAUUGGAUUCAACGCCGAAAACUCACCAGCAGCGACUGUUACAUGAAAGUCAGGUUGAUGACCUUACUAGAUUUCAG
rnacentral:rRNA from 1 species